GUUGAUUCCUGGUUUGAUGUGCGGUUAACUAAAUAUUUUAGAUUCCUCACCAAGACCCUCAUCAGCUCCAACGAAGUGCAGCAUGCUUCAUGUCUUGCCUUCCAAAAACUGGUCUCUGUAAUGGGAAAUAACUUCACAUACAACAACUCUGAGUUUGGGCAGGCUGAGAUAUACACCACAAUCAGCACCUAUCUGGGAAAUGGCUCUGAAGCCAGAUGCUACAACGACAAUGAUGCAGAACUGAAUUCUACCGCGUGGUUUGCCAAUAACAUUGGCAACUUUAUGACGUUUGCCACUGUUG